UACGUAGGGGGCAAGCGUUGUCCGGAUUUAUUGGGCGUAAAGGGCGCGUAGGCGGCCACCGCAAGUCGACUGUGAAAUCUCCGGGCUUAACCCGGAAAGGUCAGCCGAUACUGCGGGGCUAGAGUGCAGAAGGGGCAACUGGAAUUCUCGGUGUAGCGGUGAAAUGCGUAGAUAUCGGGAGGAACACCAGUGGCGAAGGCGGUUGCCUGGAGCUUUGCUGACGCUGAGGCGCGAAAGCGUGGGGAGCGAGUCCGG
rnacentral:rRNA from 1 species